AUGAUCGUUUCAUUGUUGAAGAGUAUCGCUUUACUGAUUAUCCAAAAAAGCACACGUUCAACUAUCAAGCAAUUUUUCCUGAUCAUGAAAACAAUCCGAGCAUUUUCUGGUUAACACCGGAUUGCAUAUUCUGACAGAUGAUAAAAUUUGUUCAAAUUCCUCGCAACGAUGUCGCUUUGGGCAACCUCUUCAGAGUCAUAAGUGUAUUGUAAUGGUUGCUUUGUCUUACAAAUAAUAUCCAAUUCAUAAUAAACGACGUAAUGAUGAAAACAUGAUAUCCUAUUCUUAACAGAAGGCAAAUACUAUCUUGUUUCAAUUUCUCAAAUAUUACAUUGAUUAUUGUGCUACUACUAAUAAUGGAGAAACAGCUGAACUACAUUUUGAUGUUACCACUCCAGGAAAUUACUCUUAGGAGAUUGGUUGUCAUAUUAUGGAAUGGAUAUGAUAUUUUGGCAUCGAUUGGGAAACAUCAUAUCAAGUCAAUGCUCUACUGUGAAUUUAAGAGUGAAUGGUGUGAAACUGUUGAAAGCAAAGUAAUAACUAAAAUAUCGAAACUUGCUUUACCUGACUUGCUAACUGAACAAAUGAUUCAAAUAGCUAAGCCCAUUGGUUUGCAGAUACGAAGAUGGAAAUGGUUCCAUGAAAAAUAUUUAAGUGAUUCACGUGAGGAAUUCGAUGUACCUGUUUUAACAAAACUGUGCUGGACCUCAGAAGGGAAAGUGGAUUAUCAAAGAACGGCGGAAGAAAUCAUACGUUGCAAAAUAGUAGAUAUUGUAAAACUUUACAAACUGGCUUGUUUAUAUUGCUUGGAAGAUUACAUCCCAGUUUUUUGGAAAGAAAUCCCCGAAGAGAUUAAAAAGACCUUUCAAAAUGAAGAAAACACUUCGGAUAUCGAAACACCCCAUCUGCAGUUUUGUUGGCCUUAUAUUCUUAAAGGAGAAGUAUCAAAGCUCGAUUACUUAGCUAGAAAAACAUAUGGCAAUCCAUCUUCCUUCCAUCAGCGCGCUUUCGAAUACUCAGCACGCAAAGGCAAUAAAACUGCAGCUGUAUAUUUUUUUCUGAAGUUAACGUUUGAGGAGCGAGAAGCUUCUUUAAUAAGAACAACCCAUUAUGUUGUGGCAGAACGAAAUUUCGGGAUUUAUAGAUAUCCUGAUGACUUCCCAAAGGAAAACAUUUCUGAUGUCUUGUAUUAUUUGCUGUCUCUAAUGACUCCUGAGCAGCAUAUGGAAAUUUUCAAAGUGCACCGUACCAGGGUUUUAAGAUGUUUCCUGGGAUGGCCCUGGCAAGAUCUUUUCUUGGAAAUCUCGGACUUAAUGUGGGAUUUUCUUCCUGCAAGUGACUACAGUGGACUGUUACUUAAGAUGUUUCUAAAUUUUAAAUACUCGGAGCCUUAUCUUCCUAAAUUGUUUCAGGAAUUUUUUAUGCGCAGUCCUGUUGGCUUUAAGAAACAUUUUGCGAUUAAAGAGCGUCUGUGUCGCUCCUUUUUUCCUUAUUUUUUCGAUUUUAAAGAUUCAGAAACCAUCAAAGUAAUUUUUAGAAGUUUAGACGCUGCGGACAGAAUGAGUCUUGUGUCUUCCGAAAGUCUUUUGGAACUCUUUUGCCGUUUCAUCUCGAGAGGUAGAUGGCAUAUGGUGGAAGUGUGCCUUCGAGGGGCCGCGCUAUCCGAAGAAAAUAAGGACAGACUGAAAGAGACUUUUGGUAUGUAUCUUGCCGGAAUCGAUAGAGGACACAUCAAAUGGAGGAAAAGGAAAUGGAGAAGAUUUUUUCAGUUCCUCGAUGAAGCCGAUGAGAAUGCUCUUGGGGGAGACUGAAGGAGUCUUUUGGGAUGUAUCUGACCGGAAUUGAUAGAGGGCACAUCAAACGGAGGAAAAAGAAAUGGAAAAGAUUAUUUCAGUUCCUAGAUGAUACGAAUAUCGGCAUCAGAUCAUUAUGCAUCUUGCCUAUUAAUUGGCGUUUUGAUUUUCUUGUUAUUUUUUGCAUAUAUCUGUUAUUUUAUUUCUAUUUUUUUCUCUGUAUACUAUUUUGCUUGUUUUAUGCAGAACUAGCGAGUUGAAUGCGAACGCCAAAAUAUCAGGAAUAGGAAAAGCCAUUAAGAAAGAGGAAACCGAAGUGUUCCUUUUCUGUAGAUUCUGGCUGAGUAUUAUUUAGGAUAUCUCCACAUGACAGCAAGUACUUUGUCACUCAAUUGCAGCUGCCUUGAAUUUGCCUUAUCCGUUAAAGGUUAGAAAGCAGAGCAAUAAUAAUUUGUAUAAAAGCUGAAAAAAAUUAUUCUCGAGGCUGAAAUUUCAUUAUAUUCAGCUCUUGGAUUUUCUUUACACAUCUUAUAUUGAAAGUUAUUAUAACUGUUUAACAAAUCCCUUUAAUAAA